UGGGUACCCCAAGAUAAGAGGAGACU
rnacentral:piRNA from 1 species